CUGGUUUUCUGCGAAAGUUGUUUUAGCAAAAUGUUUAUCAGUAAUAUUAGUAGGUAUAGCACUGAAUAUUUGUAAUUUUAAAGAGGGAGUAUUGCGUGUACUUAUCUCGGGUAUUUAAUCUCAGAAUGACUGAUAUUGAAAGAUAAAUGAUCGGACUACUUGCGAUAAGGUAGGUAGUCAAAAGGGGAACAGCCCAGAACAGAGGAUAAAGCUCCCCAAUUAAUAUUAAGUGAGAAUUCCCA
rnacentral:rRNA from 1 species